CGGAUGGAAGAUUUGCUGAUGUAACUUGGAGUAGCAUUGGUUGACUGCCGCCGAAACCGUGUGUAGGACAGAGAGCACAUGUAGAUGUAUAGUCAUCAUACUUGCGGUAGGUGCAGUAUCAAUUCUGAUGUCUACAUAAUUUUGCAGUGGUGGAUGAGAAGAUAGCUAAGCAAUUAAUUUAGGAAUCUCUAGUUAUUUAAGAAGGUAGAUAAUCGAUCGGCUUGGGCUUGU
rnacentral:lncRNA from 1 species